rnacentral:rRNA from 1 species
CGGAUUAGCCCAAACCAAUAAAGUUUUCUUUAUUGGGGUUGCGGACAUAUCAUAACGAAGAGGUAUCGUAAUUGAAGAGGUUUGGAAAGACCCACCACAGAAGGUAAUAGUCCUGUAUGUUAAACGAGCAGACUUUAGAUAUGAUCCAGAGUACCACGGGACACGUUAAACCCUGUGGGAAGCAGGAGGGACCCCCCUCCAAGGCUAAAUACUACCUCGUGACCGCUAGCGUCUAGUACCGCGAGGGAAAGGUGAAAAGAACACCGGGAGGGGAGUGAAAGUGAACCUGAAACCCGGCACUUACAAGCUUUGGAAUCACAGUUCUUGUGUGACCGCGUACUUUUUGUAGAACGGGCCAACGAGUUACGUUAAGUAGCAAGGUUAAGCACUUAAGGUGUGGAGCCGUAGCGAAAGCGAGUUUUAACUGAGCGUUCAGUUACUUGACGUAGACCCGAAACCGGGCGACCUACCCAUGAGCAGGAUGAAGCGAAAGUAAAAUGUCGUGGAGGUCCGAACCCACGAGCGUUGAAAAGCUCGGGGAUGACUUGUGGGUAGCGGUGAAAUUCCAAUCGAGCCCGGAGAUCACUGGUUCCCCCCGACAUAGCUUUAGGGCUAGCCUCAAGGUGA